UUAAGCGACUAAGCGUACACGGUGGAUGCCCUGGCAGUCAGAGGCGAUGAAGGACGUGCUAAUCUGCGAUAAGCGUCGGUAAGGUGAUAUGAACCGUUAUAACCGGCGAUUUCCGAAUGGGGAAACCCAGUGUGAUUCGUCACACUAUCAUUACGUGAAUACAUAGCGUAAUGAAGCGAACCGGGGGAACUGAAACAUCUAAGUACCCCGAGGAAAAGAAAUCAACCGAGAUUCCCCCAGUAGCGGCGAGCGAACGGGGAGCAGCCCAGAGUCUGAAUCAGCUUGUGUGUUAGUGGAACGGUCUGGAAAGUCCGACGGUACAGGGUGAUAGUCCCGUACACCAAAAUGCACAGGUUGUGAACUCGAAGAGUAGGGCGGGACACGUGGUAUCCUGUCUGAAUAUGGGGGGACCAUCCUCCAAGGCUAAAUACUCCUGACUGACCGAUAGUGAACCAGUACCGUGAGGGAAAGGCGAAAAGAACCCCGGCGAGGGGAGUGAAAAAGAACCUGAAACCGUGUACGUACAAGCAGUGGGAGCCUCUUUAUGGGGUGACUGCGUACCUUUUGUAUAAUGGGUCAGCGACUUAUAUUCUGUAGCAAGGUUAACCGUAUAGGGGAGCCGAAGGGAAACCGAGUCUUAACUGGGCGUUAAGUUGCAGGGUAUAGACCCGAAACCCGGUGAUCUAGCCAUGGGCAGGUUGAAGGUUGGGUAACACUAACUGGAGGACCGAACCGACUAAUGUUGAAAAAUUAGCGGAUGACUUGUGGCUGGGGGUGAAAGGCCAAUCAAACCGGGAGAUAGCUGGUUCUCCCCGAAAGCUAUUUAGGUAGCGCCUCGUGAACUCAUCUUCGGGGGUAGAGCACUGUUUCGGCUAGGGGGUCAUCCCGACUUACCAACCCGAUGCAAACUGCGAAUACCGAAGAAUGUUAUCACGGGAGACACACGGCGGGUGCUAACGUCCGUCGUGAAGAGGGAAACAACCCAGACCGCCAGCUAAGGUCCCAAAGUCAUGGUUAAGUGGGAAACGAUGUGGGAAGGCACAGACAGCCAGGAUGUUGGCUUAGAAGCAGCCAUCAUUUAAAGAAAGCGUAAUAGCUCACUGGUCGAGUCGGCCUGCGCGGAAGAUGUAACGGGGCUAAACCAUGCACCGAAGCUGCGGCAGCGACACUAUGUGUUGUUGGGUAGGGGAGCGUUCUGUAAGCCGUUGAAGGUGUACUGUGAGGUAUGCUGGAGGUAUCAGAAGUGCGAAUGCUGACAUAAGUAACGAUAAUGCGGGUGAAAAACCCGCACGCCGGAAGACCAAGGGUUCCUGUCCAACGUUAAUCGGGGCAGGGUGAGUCGACCCCUAAGGCGAGGCCGAAAGGCGUAGUCGAUGGGAAACAGGUUAAUAUUCCUGUACUUGGUGUUACUGCGAAGGGGGGACGGAGAAGGCUAUGUUAGCCGGGCGACGGUUGUCCCGGUUUAAGCAUGUAGGCGGAGGUUCCAGGUAAAUCCGGUACCUUUUAACGCUGAGGUGUGAUGACGAGGCACUACGGUGCUGAAGUAACAAAUGCCCUGCUUCCAGGAAAAGCCUCUAAGCAUCAGGUAACACGAAAUCGUACCCCAAACCGACACAGGUGGUCAGGUAGAGAAUACCAAGGCGCUUGAGAGAACUCGGGUGAAGGAACUAGGCAAAAUGGUGCCGUAACUUCGGGAGAAGGCACGCUGAUAUGUAGGUGAAGUGAUUUACUCAUGGAGCUGAAAUCAGUCGAAGAUACCAGCUGGCUGCAACUGUUUAUUAAAAACACAGCACUGUGCAAACACGAAAGUGGACGUAUACGGUGUGACGCCUGCCCGGUGCCGGAAGGUUAAUUGAUGGGGUUAUCCGUAAGGAGAAGCUCUUGAUCGAAGCCCCGGUAAACGGCGGCCGUAACUAUAACGGUCCUAAGGUAGCGAAAUUCCUUGUCGGGUAAGUUCCGACCUGCACGAAUGGCGUAAUGAUGGCCAGGCUGUCUCCACCCGAGACUCAGUGAAAUUGAACUCGCUGUGAAGAUGCAGUGUACCCGCGGCAAGACGGAAAGACCCCGUGAACCUUUACUAUAGCUUGACACUGAACACUGGUCCUUGAUGUGUAGGAUAGGUGGGAGGCUUUGAAGUGUGGACGCCAGUCUGCAUGGAGCCAUCCUUGAAAUACCACCCUUUAAUGGCUGGUGUUCUAACGUGGACCCGUAAUCCGGGUUGCGGACAGUGUCUGGUGGGUAGUUUGACUGGGGCGGUCUCCUCCUAAAGAGUAACGGAGGAGCACGAAGGUUAGCUAAUCCUGGUCGGACAUCAGGAGGUUAGUGCAAAGGCAUAAGCUAGCUUGACUGCGAGAGUGACGGCUCGAGCAGGUGCGAAAGCAGGUCUUAGUGAUCCGGUGGUUCUGAAUGGAAGGGCCAUCGCUCAACGGAUAAAAGGUACUCCGGGGAUAACAGGCUGAUACCGCCCAAGAGUUCAUAUCGACGGCGGUGUUUGGCACCUCGAUGUCGGCUCAUCACAUCCUGGGGCUGAAGUAGGUCCCAAGGGUAUGGCUGUUCGCCAUUUAAAGUGGUACGCGAGCUGGGUUUAGAACGUCGUGAGACAGUUCGGUCCCUAUCUGCCGUGGGCGCUGGAGAAUUGAGGGGGGCUGCUCCUAGUACGAGAGGACCGGAGUGGACGCAUCACUGGUGUUCGGGUUGUCAUGCCAAUGGCAUUGCCCGGUAGCUAAAUGCGGAAGAGAUAAGUGCUGAAAGCAUCUAAGCACGAAACUUGCCCCAAGAUGAGUUCUCCCUGAGACUUUAAGUCUCCUGAAGGAACGUUAAAGACGAUGACGUUGAUAGGUCGGGUGUGUAAGUGUAGCGAUACAUUGAGCUAACCGAUACUAAUGAACCGUGAGGCUUAACCU
rnacentral:rRNA from 1 species